rnacentral:rRNA from 1 species
UACGGAGGGUGCAAACGUUGUUCGGAAUUACUGGGCGUAAAGCGCAUGUAGGCGGAUAUGGAAGUCAGAUGUGAAAGCCCUUGGCUCAACCAAGGAAGUGCAUCUGAAACCACAUAUCUUGAGUAUGACAGAGGGAAGUGGAAUUCCCAGUGUAGAGGUGAAAUUCAUAGAUAUUGGGAAGAACACCGGUGGCGAAGGCGGCUUUCUGGGUCAUUACUGACGCUGAGAUGCGAAAGCGUGGGGAGCAAAC